rnacentral:lncRNA from 1 species
AAAUAAGUUUGAUUAAUAACUAAUCAAAAUCUUCUCAACGGCAAUCCAGCUGAAAAAUAUGGAAACGUUUGUUGGAAAAUAUGGUGUUACAAACUGCAUCUCUAGCUUGACUUCCCAGUUUUCUGAACCACUGCCUUACAUUCUGCCAAACGUGUCCCGGAUGACUGAGAUUCUUAGUGCCGUGCUCCAGCUCACACUUUCUCCGGAGAUGGCCAGAUUUCCCUGAGGCAGACAACAUGAGAAAAUUGCAGCUGAGGAGACAUAACCAGAAACAUGCUACUGAGCCUGAAGCACUGUAUUCUUUCCAGAGCUUGAAUCAAGUCCCCAUCAUCCUGUAAAUAUGCCUGAAAAGGUACUAUGCAACAGGCCACAUCCUGCACUGAAAAUGACUCUGCUUUGCACCGGUGGAUUACUUCUGCUCUUUAAACAAGUCCCCUUCAACAACACAUAUUCUCAUCUGUGCAUUUUUAAUAGAAGCAUAAUUUUUGUCGUAUGUUAUAAUGAAUAGCAUACAACUGAGCAGUGCGCAUAAGACUGUAAUUCCAUCUGGGAGUUUGUUGACAUUGAUAAACCACUCAGGUUUUGCUUUUGUGGCUCAUGCCAUUACAGCAGCUCAACAGGAUUACAGUCCUGUUAUGUACAGUUGGUCGUAGACAUUAUACCGUAUGAAAAUGACUGUAUAUUUUAUUAAAGAAAAGGUUUGAAUUUAAGUAUGAAACUGAAAAUUCUCAUCAACGGUCUGAUAAUAUGGAGUUAAAAAUGAUCUUUAUAUUAUUAGCUGAGCGCCUUGUUUAUUUUAUUUAAGAUUCCUCAUCCUAGGCAAUGAAAAUAGUUUAGUUGGAUUUAACUAUAUCUAUACUGAGGGACUGAAGAAUUUCCCUUGUAAUUUUGUGGCAUCACUACUUUUAUGGUAUAUGAAAACCAGAACAUUGAACUGCCCAUAAAGGAAAGUGAACCAGACAAGUCUAGUAAUUUCAUAGUCUAAACUGAGUUAAACAGAUACACACAAAAGCAGAUAAACAAUGAAAACUGUGGUUUCACUUUUUUUUUUUUUUCAUUCUAAAUGUUAACUGUGAUAGCAGUGGUACUCCCAGGGAUUGUUUAAAAUAUGAAAUAAAAUUUUCCUUGAAUUUGACUAUAAUUAAUAG